rnacentral:rRNA from 1 species
GUGCCAGCAGCUGCGGUAAUACGGAGGGUGCAAGCGUUAAUCGGAAUUACUGGGCGUAAAGCGCACGCAGGCGGUCUGUCAAGUCGGAUGUGAAAUCCCCGGGCUCAACCCGGGAACUGCAUUCGAAACUGUCAGGCUGGAGUCUUGUAGAGGGGGUAGAAUUCCAGGUGUAGCGGUGAAAUGCGUAGAGAUCUGGAGGAAUACCGGUGGCGAAGGCGGCCCCCUGGACAAAGACUGACGCUCAGGUGCGAAAGCGUGGGGAGCAAACAGGAUUAGAUACCCUGGUAGUCCACGCCGUAAACGAUGUCUAUUUGGAGGUUGUGCCCUUGAGGCGUGGCUUCCGGAGCUAACGCGUUAAAUAGACCGCCUGGGGAGUACGGCCGCAAGGUUAAAACUCAAAUGAAUUGACGGGGCCCGCACAAGCGGUGGAGCAUGUGGUUAAUUCGAUGCAACGCGAAGAACCUUACCUGGUCUUGACAUCCACAGAAGUUUCAGAGAUGAGAAUGUGCCUUCGGAACUGUGAGAC